GAAAGCCCGCCCGCCGAGCUGCCCACCCGGCCGAGCUGUACUUGGUGUAUGGCAACAUGCCGACAUGAUGUAAUUUGUUAGUACUUCAAGAUCAUAUAAUGGAAAAUUGUAUCCAAACUGAAGUAUAAACCAGCCUGGUUGCUGUAGCCACAGGGGAAUCUUCAAGGACAAGAACUAGUCAUGGUAAAAUUGUGGUCUCAUGUGGUUUUCCAUACCGGCUCUCAGCAAGGAUUUCAGAGAAAGGAAUACCGUCUCCAAAUCAUGCUAAGAAGCUCCAGUUAGCUGCGCCUUUUUCCUCCCGGCAGUAGUCCUGCAAUCUGAAUCAAGGAGAUGCAGCUCUGAAUCCAAUAUUUCAGAAGAAUGAAGAUAAAACUGAAGCCCUCAGGAAGUCAACGCCACCAUGAUAUUGAUUUACUCAGCUCUGAUGUACUCAGCUGUGAUGUAACAUGCCUUCAAGCCAAUAUUCGAAGAACAUUUAGACGUUCUAAAUGGACCAUUGCCCUGUUGCCAUAAAAAUCAUUAUGAGGAGGAGCACACAAACUGUCACUUGUUUUGAAUACGAGAUGUACCACAAACUUACCAUAAACUUUUCGGAUGCUCUGUUUAUUUCAUCAGCCAAUUUCAAUGUAUAUUUUACUGAAUAACGACAAACAAGCUUUAUUAACGAUGCUCAGCUCUUACUCAUAAGCAUCUCUUACUCAUCUGUAUCCCACAACUAAACAUGCUUGCAAUUACACUGUACCAUCUAUCAUAAUAUAGCAAUGCUGCAAUUACCACAUUUUUUGUACUUUAUACUGUAACUUUUAUUGAAAAUGGUGCAUAAACACUGAUAACACAUAAAUGUUUCAUUCAUACAUUUGUACAUGUUCUUUUAGUGUAUAUGUUGAUAAUGUUGAUACAUUUUUCAUGUGCAUUUACACAUGUGUUUAUUGCCAACCUCAUCAAAACAUGCAUAGUUUGCUCACAUACAUAUUUCCAACACAGACAAUUACUGAAUGUAGUACUACUUUACGUUGAUUUUGAUAUGCAAAUAAAACAUUGUACUAUUCGU